rnacentral:rRNA from 1 species
UUAGGGGUUUCUGGUUUUUCAAGAAAUGAAUUUAAUUCAUACGUCUUAUUUAGAGUUUUAUUAUUUGUUUAUUUAUUUUUAUUUGGCGUUAAGAUUGGGAGGGAUUAGCUUCUUAUUUUAUUUUUAUAAUUUUUUGUUUAUUUAGUCUUGUGGGUUUUAUAGUGAUUUUCAAUUUGAUUAUGUUAAAAUUUUAUUUGUUUUGUUCUGUUAUUUUUAUUUGUUUAAUUAUUUAUUGAAAUGUAUUCAUUUCUGGUUUAUGGAUAGUAAUUAUUGUAGAAUUAGUAAAUUUGUUGUUAGGUUGUUUUAUUUGUGUUAAUUUUCUUUGAGGAACUAGGCAAAUUUCAUGUCCGCCUGUUUAACAAAAACAUCUUUUCUUGUUAGUUUUUGAAGUAUGGCCUGCCCGCUGACUUUGGUGUUGAAGGGCCGCGGUAUUUUGACCGUGCAAAGGUAGCAUAGUCAUUAGUUCUUUAAUUGUGAUCUGGUAUGAAUGGCUUGACGAGGCAUGGGCUGUCUUAAUUUUGAAUUGUUUAUUGAAUUUGGUCUUUGAGUUAAAAUUCUUAGAUGUUUUUAUGGGACGAGAAGACCCUAUAGAGUUUAACAUUUGUUAUGGUCCCCUUUUUGUUUGUGAGGGUUCAUUGGGCCGUUUAAUAUGUUUUGUUGGGGUGAUGGGAGGGAUUAAUUUAA